UAUGGCGACCGGCGCACGGGUGAGUAACACGUAUCCAACCUGCCGAUGACUCGGGGAUAGCCUUUCGAAAGAAAGAUUAAUACCCGAUGGCAUAGUUCUUCCGCAUGGUGGAACUAUUAAAGAAUUUCGGUCAUCGAUGGGGAUGCGUUCCAUUAGGUUGUUGGCGGGGUAACGGCCCACCAAGCCUUCGAUGGAUAGGGGUUCUGAGAGGAAGAUCCCCCACAUUGGAACUGAGACACGGUCCAAACUCCUACGGGAGGCAGCAUG
rnacentral:rRNA from 1 species